AGCCUGCAAAAAGCAGUUUUAUCAAAUUAAUAUUUGUGUCAAUAUUCGUACUAUCGUACUACUUUACAACGUAUUUCGAUAAAAAACAUGUUAUGAAUGCAUUGUUAAAUGGGUUACGUUCUUUAAUUUGUAAAUGAACAGUCUUUUAGCAAACACUAACCAGCGUGACGACAAAAAAUAUAUAUCAUACAGUAAAAUGUGCCCUGCUAGUUGGUACAGUUUAUAAAGUUAACGAAUCUUAAUACUGUAUAUACAAUACCCGUGACUAGCUAGAACUGAUUUUUGUUAUAAGUGGUACAUAGGGCCCGUGACUAGCUAGACUUCUUUACUUUUAAAAUUCAUUUCUUCAACGAAAGAGUCUCAAAGUUCGAAUCUCGAUGAGUGGGGGAAAUGAUUUAAAGUUACAUGAAUUUUCUCACAAACCUGAACAAGUUAUUGUCAACAAUAGUUCUGGUGAUCCCAAAAUAAUAGCCUAAGUAUCGUUACCGUUCUGAUUUGAAGAAUUUACGUCCAUCCGCAAAAGGCUAUGCAUCUAAUCUAUCCCAAGAGUAUAUAAUACAAUAACUCAUUACCUGUUUACAUUGGGAAGCUUCGCAUUGAACAGUGCGAGAAGAGCUUGACUUUGAAGGGUCAAAGAGAACAGAGGAAGCACAACCAACGCAAGCAGAACAAGGAACCCAAGUAACGUCAUUGCUAGUGUCAAGAGCCACGAGCAUGGGCUGGGCCGGUGUCCCAAUGUUAGCCCUCACGAUGUAAGUCGGGCUCUGAACGAUGGAACGUCCCGAGGCGAUUGGGACCCAAGGUUUCUUACCAACGGCGAGGCUUGA